rnacentral:lncRNA from 1 species
GAGGACGUUGAUUGACCAUCUCCUCAAGAUUUGGUUCAACGGUCUCAAAUGGAGUAACUUCUGGAGAAAGAGAUCUUUCACAAAAAGGGCGUCUCUUCCUCCUCUCGUAUGGUAGACCUUCUAGCAAAGGUUGUUGGUUUUUCCUGCUUCUAGUAUGUAUUGUCUCCUGCAUGCACAAGAAACACACCCUAAAAGCACU